UCGGCCUGGAUCCCCUAACCUCUCUCCUCCGAUCCUCCCCUGUGGAGACGUUCUCCAUGCCUCUCCAUGCGCCCCCGCAUCCAUGGGUCUCCGUCGCCAGCGCGGCUCCGCGCCUCAUCUGGUAUGGCUGCUCGGCGUCUUCGCACGCGCGGGAGCUGAAUUGCGCUCGACGGUGCUGCUCCGCCUCGGCUACAUCGACUUCGACGCCGACGGUUCGGAAAGAGGGAAGCACCACAAUGAACUGCAGUCGAGUUCGAGGAAUAAUUGUUCUUAUAAUGCAAUUUGGGCUCUGUUAAUUGGUGAAUUCUAUUUUAGAAGUCCACUUUUAUAGGGAAAAAGGGUGCUGUUCAAAGAAUUAGGUAGCUUGCCUGAAUUCUUCUUGUGGGAGUUGUGCAGAAUCCAGGACAAUUUGUCUCCCCAUAACCACUUUGGUGUCCUGUUAUGGAACAAGUUAUACAUCACUCUGGUACAUCUAAUGUUCACUUGUCUUUUAUGCGUAUUGAUAGUGUUCAUAUCUAAUUCUCAUAUAACUCCAGCUGGCUUAGUAAAUAGAAAACCCCGACAAGACCCUCUUUAUGGUAUCUCUAAUUCAGAUCCACGCUCAAGAAGGAAUACAGGUAGAGCUACUGUUGACUUCCUCUAUAUAUGUGUAUUGCAGGAACGUUAGUACUGUUUAAAUUUUGUUCUGUUAACGAAAACAGUUCAAACUAUGUGUAUGGGAUGUCCCAACAGUGCAAAGAUGUGUAUGACCUGUGUAUAUCUCUAGAUAUCUCUUCGAGUUCGAUUACAAAACAUGCUGAUGUACUAAAGUGAUAUGGGCGUUUUUGAAAGUGGUUUAUGGAAGAAAAU